CCUACGGGAGGCAGCAGUGAGGAAUAUUGGUCAAUGGGCGCGAGCCUGAACCAGCCAAGUCGCGUGAGGGAAGACGGCCCUAUGGAUUGUAAACCUCUUUUGUCGGGGAGCAAAAGACGCCACGUGUGGCGUUCCGAGAGUACCCGAAGAAAAAGCAUCGGCUAACUCCGUGCCAGCAGCCGCGGUAAUACGGAGGAUGCGAGCGUUAUCCGGUUUGAUUGGGUUAAAGGGGUGCGCAGGCGGAAGAUAAAGGCGGCGGUAAAAUUGAGGGGCUCAACCUCUUCGAGCCGUUGAAACUGGUUUUCUUGAGUGAGCGAGAGGUAUGCGGAAUGCGUGGUGUAGCGGUGAAAUGCAUAGAUAUCACGCAGAACUCCGAUUGCGAAGGCAGCAUACCGGCGCGCAACUGACGCUCAUGCACGAAAGUGUGGGUAUCGAACAGGAUUAGAUACCCGAGUAGUC
rnacentral:rRNA from 1 species